UGGGGAAUUUUGGACAAUGGGCGAAAGCCUGAUCCAGCAAUGCCGCGUGUGUGAAGAAGGCCUUCGGGUUGUAAAGCACUUUUGUCCGGAAAGAAAUCCUUGGCUCUAAUACAGUCGGGGGAUGACGGUACCGGAAGAAUAAGCACCGGCUAACUACGUGCCAGCAGCCGCGGUAAUACGUAGGGUGCAAGCGUUAAUCGGAAUUACUGGGCGUAAAGCGUGCGCAGGCGGUUUGCUAAGACCGAUGUGAAAUCCCCGGGCUCAACCUGGGAACUGCAUUGGUGACUGGCAGGCUAGAGUAUGGCAGAGGGGGGUAGAAUUCCACGUNUAGCAGUGAAAUGCGUAGAGAUGUGGAGGAAUACCGAUGGCGAAGGCAGCCCCCUGGGCAAUACUGACGCUCAUGCACGAAAGCGUGGGGAGCAAACAGGAUUAGAUACCCUGGUAGUCCACGCCCUAAACGAUGUCAACUGGUUGUUGGGGAUCAUUUCCUUAGUAACGUAGCUAACGCGUGAAGUUGACCGCCUGGGGAGUACGUCGCAAGAUUAAAACUCAAAUGAAUUGACGGGGUCAUAGCUG
rnacentral:rRNA from 1 species